UUGUCCAAAUUGAAGAUAACAAGAAGGAGUGGGCUAGUAAAGGAUGUUCACUUAUGUCUGAUGGUUGGAGAGAUUCAGUGGCUAAGAAAGACAUUGUCAACUUCCUAGUUAAUUCCCCUAAAGGUUCUGUUUUCAUCAAGUCAAAAGAUGUUUCCGAAGUGGUGAAAGAUUCAACGUUGUUGUUUAAGUUGCUAAAUGAUAUGGUUGAGGAAAUUGGAGAAGCUAAUGUAGUUCAAGUCAUCACAGACAAUGCAAAGAACUACAUAAAAGCUGGUAUCUAUGAUCUGAACCAAUAUUUAUUUCCAAUCUUUGUUUUAACAUUUGAUAUAUAUUUUUUGUAACACUAAUAUAAAAUACUUAAAUUCAGGAAAAUUGCUUCAAACAAAAAGACCUCAUCUCUACUGGACUCCAUGUGCUGCACAUUGCAUUGAUCUAAUGUUGGAAGACAUUGGAGAAAUCCCAGCAUUGAAGAAUGCAAUGAAAAAAUGCAUGUUCAUGAAUGGAUAUAUCUACAGCCAUGUCCUUCUUGUGAACAUGAUGAGGAAAUUCACAAAGCAAAGAAAUCUGCACAGGCUGGCUAUAACAAGGUUUGCUACUUCUUGCAUAACCAUGACUCAGUUUCUCAAACAGCAGAAGCCUUUAAGGGAUAUGAUAAAUUCUGCUGAAUGGAGUGAGUCUAAAUGGCCCAAAGAAGCUGGAGCAAGAAAAGGUAGACAGUAUCUUAUGCAAGCGAGUUUUUGGAAGAAUAUUCGACGUGCUCUGAAGAUUAUGACUCCUCUUGUCAAAGUACUUAGGAUGGUUGAUGGAGAGAAAAAAACCAGAUAUGGGAUACAUUUAUGCAGCCAUGGACAGGGCAAAAGAGACAAUCGAAAGGGAUUUCAACUGGAAUAAAGAGAAGUACGAAGAAGCCUUUGAGAUCAUUGACAAAAGGUGGCAGUGUCAGCUUCACCAUCCUUUGCAUGAUGCUGGGUAUUUCCUAAACCCUUCAAUCCAUUACAAAUAUCACGAUGAUGUACGUUGCGCCGAAGUGGAAGGGAGCUUGUAUAAUUGCAUUACUAGGUUGGUUUUUUAAAUUGUGUUUUUGUUUUGUAUUAAUAGGUUGGUACACCAUUUUCAGAUGAUAGUUUUGUUUGUGUUUCAUUAAUAAGUUGGUUCCAAAUACAGAGACUCAAGACAAGAUAAUGACAAAGUUGGAUUCUUUCAAGGACGCUUCUGGUAUUUUCGGCCACGACAUGGCCAUUAGGAAAAGAAAUAUCAAAGCACCAGCUGAAUGGUGGUCUUGUUAUGGAUCUUCUGCUCCAAAUUUGAGAAGCUUUGCUGUUAAGAUCCUUAGUCUGACUUGUAGUGCUACUGGUUGUGAAAUAAAUUGGAGUGUUUUCCAACUUGUAAGUCUUUUUAAUCACCUUUAUUGUAUAUUUGUAGGUGAUUUUUUUAACUUAUAAAUUUUAAACUUGAUUUGUAACAGCUUCAUACAAAGAAGAGAAAUCGCCUAGC